rnacentral:rRNA from 1 species
AGGCGGNUCUGUAAGUCAGAUGUGAAAUCCCCGGGCUCAACCUGGGAACUGCAUUUGAGACUGCAAGACUGGAGUUUGGCAGAGGGGGGUGGAAUUCCACGUGUAGCAGUGAAAUGCGUAGAGAUGUGGAGGAACACCGAUGGCGAAGGCAGNCCCCUGGGNCAAUACUGACGCUCAUGCACGAAAGCGUGGGGAGCAAACAGGAUUAGAUACCCUGGUAGUCCACGCCCUAAACGAUGUCANCUAGGUGUUGGGAGGGUUAAACCUUUUAGUGCCGUAGCUAACGCGUGAAGUUGACCGCCUGGGGAUUACGGCCGCAAGGUUAAAACUCAAAGGAAUUGACGGGGACCCGCACAAGCGGUGGAUUAUGUGGUUUAAUUCGAUUGAAACGCGAAAAACCUUAACCUACCC